GACCCAGGAAAUGGUGAAGUACGUGAAUCGACUCCCUCUUCGAGUCCAGACCUUUUAACAUAUAAUAAAGAAUAAGGGACUGACUUCUUUCUUGACAAGGAUCCUGAAUAGAUCGCACAUGCUCCAAGGACUUCACGGAAUUAGGAGGCACACAUGUAGGUAUACCAAGAGAAAUGCGGGUAAGCGACGAGGGAAAUUGCCUCAACAAAACAAGUUUUUAU
rnacentral:lncRNA from 1 species